CAAUAGCGUAUAUUAAAGUUGUUGCAGUUAAAAAGCUCGUAGUUGGAUUUCUGGUGGGAGCGAUCGGUCUGGCGCUUAGCGCGAGUACUUGCAUCGUCUCCGGCCAUCCUUGGGGAGAGUCUGUCUGGCAUUAGGUUGUCGGGCAGAGGAUCCUCAUCGUUUACUGUGAAAAAAUUAGAGUGUUCAAAGCAGGCUUAUGCCGUUGAGUAUAUUAGCAUGGAAUAAUAAGAUAGGACUUUGGUACUAUUUUGUUGGUUUGCGCACCAAAGUAAUGAUUAAUAGGGACAGUUGGGGGUAUUCGUAUUCCGUUGUCAGAGGUGAAAUUCUUGGAUUUACGGAAGACGAACUACUGCGAAAGCAUUUACCAAGGAUGUUUUCAUUAA
rnacentral:rRNA from 1 species